ensembl:ncRNA Y67D8A.9 ncRNA
AAUAGGUGACAACUGACACAUACACGUUGGCUGGCUGGCUGGCUGGCACCAGAGAAAGAGCAAAUUUUAAUUACACCGG